rnacentral:rRNA from 1 species
AUUGAACGCUGGCGGCAGGCCUAACACAUGCAAGUCGAACGAGUGGCGGACGGGUGAGUAAUGUCUGGGAAACUGCCUGAUGGAGGGGGAUAACGACUGGAAACGGUAGCUAAUACCGCAUACCAUCAGAUGUGCCCCGAUGGGAUUAGCUAGUGGGUGGGGUAACGGCUCACCAAGGGGACGCUCCCUAGAUGGUCUGGGAGGAUGACCGGCCACACUGGAACUGAGACCCGGUCCAGACUCCGACGGGAGGCAGCAGUGGGGAAUAUUGCACAAUGGGCGCAAGCCUGAUGCAGCAAGGCCGCGUGUAUGAAGAAGGCCUUCGGGUUGUAAAGUACUUUCAGCGGGGAGGCGUUACCCGCAGAAGAAGCACCGGCUAACUCCGUGCCAGCAGCCGCGGUAAUUC